rnacentral:rRNA from 1 species
GUGAGGAAUAUUGGACAAUGGGCGCAAGCCUGAUCCAGCCAUGCCGCGUGCAGGAAGACGCAUCUAUGGUGUGUAAACUGCUUUUGUACGGGAAGAAACACUCCCUCGUGAGGGAGCUUGACGGUACCGUAAGAAUAAGGAUCGGCUAACUCCGUGCCAGCAGCCGCGGUAAUACGGAGGAUCCAAGCGUUAUCCGGAAUCAUUGGGUUUAAAGGGUCCGUAGGCGGUUUAAUAAGUCAGUGGUGAAAGCCCAUCGCUCAACGAUGGAACUGCCAUUGAUACUGUUAGACUUGAAUUACAAGGAAGUAACUAGAAUAUGUAGUGUAGCGGUGAAAUGCUUAGAUAUUACAUGGAAUACCAAUUGCGAAGGCAGGUUACUACUUGUGGAUUGACGCUGAUGGACGAAAGCGUGGGGAGCGAACAGGAUUAGAAACCCCAGUAGUCC